GAUGAACGCUGGCGGCGUGCCUGAUACAUGCAAGUCGAGCGAACGGACGAGAAGCUUGCUUCUCUGAUGUUAGCGGCGGACGGGUGAGUAACACGUGGAUAACCUACCUAUAAGACUGGGAUAACUUCGGGAAACCGGAGCUAAUACCGGAUAAUAUUUUGAACCGCAUGGUUCAAAAGUGAAAGACGGUCUUGCUGUCACUUAUAGAUGGAUCCGCGCUGCAUUAGCUAGUUGGUAAGGUAACGGCUUACCAAGGCAACGAUGCAUAGCCGACCUGAGAGGGUGAUCGGCCACACUGGAACUGAGACACGGUCCAGACUCCUACGGGAGGCAGCAGUAGGGAAUCUUCCGCAAUGGGCGAAAGCCUGACGGAGCAACGCCGCGUGAGUGAUGAAGGUCUUCGGAUCGUAAAACUCUGUUAUUAGGGAAGAACAUAUGUGUAAGUAACUGUGCACAUCUUGAUGGUACCUAAUCAGAAAGCCACGGCUAACUACGUG
rnacentral:rRNA from 1 species